rnacentral:rRNA from 1 species
CACGGGGGGAGCAAGCGUUGUUCGGAAUCACUGGGCGUAAAGGGCGUGUAGGCGGUCAAGUAAGUGGAAUGUGAAAGCCCCCCGGCUUACCCGGGGAUCUGCAUCCCAAACUGCUUGGCUUGAGUACGGGAGAGGAUAGGGGAAUUCCUGGUGUAGCGGUGAAAUGCGUAGAUAUCAGGAGGAACACCGGUGGCGAAGGCGCCUAUCUGGCCCGAUACUGACGCUGAGGCGCGAAAGCGUGGGGAGCAAACAGG